GACGAACGCUGGCGGCGUGCCUAAUACAUGCAAGUCGAGCGGACGGAUGGGAGCUUGCUCCCAGACCGUCAGCGGCGGACGGGUGAGUAACACGUGGGCAACCUGCCUGUAAGACUGGGAUAACUCCGGGAAACCGGGGCUAAUACCGGAUAACUCUUUCCCUCACAUGAGGGAAAGCUGAAAGAUGGCAUCUCGCUAUCACUUACAGAUGGGCCCGCGGCGCAUUAGCUAGUUGGUGAGGUAACGGCUCACCAAGGCGACGAUGCGUAGCCGACCUGAGAGGGUGAUCGGCCACACUGGGACUGAGACACGGCCCAGACUCCUACGGGAGGCAGCAGUAGGGAAUCUUCCGCAAUGGACGAAAGUCUGACGGAGCAACGCCGCGCGAGUGAUGAAGGUUUUCGGAUCGUAAAACUCUGUUGUCAGGGAAGAACAAGUACCGGAGUAACUGCCGGUACCUUGACGGUACCUGACCAGAAAGCCACGGCUAACUACGUG
rnacentral:rRNA from 1 species